GACGAACGCUGGCGGCGUGCUUAACACAUGCAAGUCGAACGGAAAGGCCCUGCUUUUGUGGGGUGCUCGAGUGGCGAACGGGUGAGUAACACGUGAGUAACCUGCCCUUGACUUUGGGAUAACUUCAGGAAACUGGGGCUAAUACCGGAUAUGAGCUCCUGCUGCAUGGUGGGGGUUGGAAAGUUUGGGCGGUUGGGGAUGGACUCGCGGCUUAUCAGCUUGUUGGUGGGGUAGUGGCUUACCAAGGCUUUGACGGGUAGCCGGCCUGAGAGGGUGACCGGCCACAUUGGGACUGAGAUACGGCCCAGACUCCUACGGGAGGCAGCAGGGGGGAAUAUUGCACAAGGGGCGGAAGCCUGAGGCAGCAACGCCGCGUGCGGGAUGACGGCCUUCGGGUUGUAAACCGCUUUCGCCUGUGACGAAGCGUGAGUGACGGUAAUGGGUAAAGAAGCACCGGCUAACUACGUG
rnacentral:rRNA from 1 species